GAUGCAACUUUAUCCUUUAGCAAUCACCUCGAAAUAACUCUUUUCUUUUUUCUAGAUGAAACUUUUUUGAUCACAGGUUCAGAUAGUACUUUGAUACAUACCAUGCCAAGAUCAAGAUCGAAGUUGCUCUGUUGUGUUUCAUCAUAAUAAUAGAAGGAGAGGAGGAAGAGAGAGAGAGAGUAUGAUGAUGCUGAGGCAAACCGCAAAAAAGGCUUAUCUAGGGCUAAGGAAUCCGACGGCGUCUCCACUAGGAGGAGGGGUUGGGCGUUGUUAUAGUAUUUGGGAGUUGGCACCUGGCACGUGUGAAGCAGAAUGUAGCAGAUAAGAAGGGAUGAGUCACGUGUGAAGGGUGAGAACGGAUGAGCUGUAUGGAGCUGGAAAGGUCGGUUGCGGUUGAAGGAUGUCAACAUAACGGCAGUUAAAUAAAUGUUAACACUGUUAACGGCACUAGUAGUAUAAGAGCAUUGUUUAGCUCAUCUUUAUGCAUAUGAAUAUUUUGGGUUUGCAAAAUACUUUCGAAAACUCUCUUUUCCUCAUCGUUUAGCCAGUUUCUCUCUGUGAGAUUCUUGCUGGUGAGAUGACGAUGCUGCGUUCUAUUUGUUGAGUUAUUAAUUUCGUUAACACUGGUAUCAGAGUUAGAGACUCCUUGGAAACAAUGGCGGUGGAAACGAGAUCUCAGCUUACUCGAGCUGACGAAGUGGUGGGUACGAGUAGAUCGGUGAUUCCGUUAGCUGAAGCGAGAUUGAAUGCUCUAGGAUCUCAGAUCGCACAGGUACUUGAUCGAACUUCAGCUUUAGAAGUUGCGAUUGUUGAACAAAAUAAAAAAAUUGACGCAAACAUUGCCGAUAUGUUUGAAAUGGCGAAUAUGACAGCAACCUGCGUCCAACGGAAAGGCCAAUGGAAAACAAAUCUGUGGGGGUGAGGCUCCGAUAGUAUCGGCAACACCAGAACAUUUGGCGGAGAGAUCUGAUCGUGGUAGAAGUGAUGGAUCAGGAUAUCAAAGCAGAAGUGAUGGAUCAGGUUAUCAAAACAGGGGAGAUUGCUUGGGUUAUCAAAACAGGGGAGAUGGCUCGGGUUAUCAGAACGGGGGUGAUGGUGGGGGUUAUCAGAAUCAUUACUCUGGACUAACUAGAGUUGGGAAGGUCGACUUUCCUCGAUUUAAUGGAGAACGCUUAUCGGAGUGGUUUUUCAAGGUGGAGGAUUUUUUCUCUCUGGAUUUCACCCCUGGUGAGUUCAAGGUUAAGAUGGCGGCGAUGCAUUUUGAUGGUCAUGCGGCAGCUUGGCAUCAGUCUUUGGUUCAGACACCGUUGGGAAGGAAUGUUUCGCGAGAUUGGCCAUCCUAUAAAUUGUUGUUGCAGGAACGCUUUGAGGAUGUGUUGGAUGACCCCAUUGCAGAGCUUAAGCAGUUGCAGGAAACGAAUGGUAUUGUUGAUUAUCAUCAACGGUUUGAGUUGAUACGAAACAGGGUGACUCUUUCUGAAGAUUAUCUGAUGAGAGCUUAUCUAGCUGGCCUCAGGUUGGACACACAGAUGCAUAUCCGCAUGUUUCAACCCCAAUCUGUUCGUCAAUGCUUGGUUUUGGGAAGGUUGUAUGAGAAGGCUCACCCAGUGCAGAAAGGAAGUGCAGGAGGGUGGUUGUCGUCUAAAUCAAACUUUGCUACUCCAAUGAUGAAAAAACAGGCAACUGAUAAGGAGAAGAAAGUAGUCCAGUCUUCUGACAAUGAUACUAGCGUGGUGGCACCUAAGAACAGGAGGUUCUUAUCUCAAGAGGAAAUGAGUGAGCGACGUGCCAAGGGGCUAUGUUACAUUUGUGAUGAGAAAUAUACCCCUGACCACUACUUGAAGCAUAAGAAGUCAUAGGUUUAUAUGAUAGAAGUGGAGGAAGAACCAGGAGAAUGGGAGAAUCCGGAAGUUCAGGUCACUGGUGAGGAAGACAGUGAUACACCAAGGGUUUCAAUCAGUGCAGUUUCAGGGAUCACUGACUACAGGACUCUGAAAGUGAGAGGAGUACAUAGCAAGAAGGUAUUGUUCAUCCUCUUAGACACCGGAUCCACACAUAAUUUUAUGGAUCCCAGAACAGCUAAGGCGUUAGGAGUUGCAGUGCAGUCAGCGGGGUUUACCAAUGUAACAGUUGCAGAUGGGAGUACGCUUGGAGUUCAGGGCAGGGUAACACAUUUUGACUGGUCGUUUCAGGGCACUCCUUUCAAAGACGAUUUCAUGUUGAUUCCCUUAGGAGGGUGUGACAUGGUGUUAGGAGUUCAAUGGUUGGCCCCAUUGGGAGAUAUGACAUGGAACCUGCAGAAAUUAGAAAUGGGAUUCUGGUGGAAAAGACAAAGAAUCAUGCUUCACGGGAUCAAGCAAGGUGCGGUGAGAAUGAUAAAAGCUACCAAGUUUAAUAAGGUCCAAGAGGAGUCGGCUCAAAUCUCCAUGAUAUGUGCCAAUGAAGUUGGAACAGGAAGAAAUGAUGUUAUUCGCCGUGGAAACUAGUCAGGAUGAAAAUGCCAACAACGCGUCUGUUUUGCAACUAAAGGAGACAUUUUCUGACAUCUUUAAGGAGCCAAUAGUUCUACCUCCUUUCAGGAAGGAGCAGAUCCGGUGAAUCAAAGGCCCUAUCGUUAAGAUGAGAUUGACAAGAAUGUUCAAGAGUUAUUGAAAGCAGGCACCAUACGCGUCAGCUCAAGUCCGUUUUCUUCUCUGGUGGUGUUAGUGAAGAAGAAAGAUGGAACUUGGCGACUUUGUGUGGAUUAUAGAGGACUAAAUGGGUUAACCAUUAAGAAUAGGUUCCAUAUUCCUUUAAUUGAGGACCUUAUGGAUGAGUUAGGAGGUUCUGCGGUCUUUUCGAAGAUAGACUUGCGUGCAGGUUAUCAUCAAGUUCGAAUGGAACCGGAGGAUAUCCAUAAAAUGGCAUUCAAGACUCACAGUGGACACUUCGAAUAUCUAGUUAUGCCUUUCGGCUUAACCAACGCUCCAGCGACGUUUCAAGGGUUGAUGAAUUCAUUGUUCAAGGAGUUCUUGCGUAAGUUCGUCCUAAUCUUUUUUGACGAUAUAUUGGUAUACAGUCUGAAUAUGGAAGAUCAUGUCAAACAUCUCCAGCAAGUGUUUCACACUAUGCGUUUGAACCAACUGUAUGCCAAGGAGGGUAAGUGCGCUUUUGCAACAGCUAAAGUUGAGUAUUUGGGGCAUUUUAUUGCUGCUGGUGGAGUGUCUACGGACCCUGCCAAGGUCAACGCUGUUGCAGAGUGGCCAGUACCAGUGAACUUGAAGCAACUGCGAGGGUUCUUAGGUCUUGCAGGGUAUUACAGGCGUUUUGUCAAGAAUUUUGGCACAAUUGCUCGACCUUUGACUCUGCUCACUUAAAAAGACUCUUUUGUUUGGUCACCUGAGGCAUUGGAGGCUUUCAACCAUCUUAACCUGGCUUUGAGUCAGGCACAUGUUCUUGCUCUGCCACGGUUUGACAAGCCUUUCUUGGUGGAAACAGAUGCAAGCACGAAAGGGAUUGGGGCAGUGCUUAUGCAAGAGGGUCAUCCUCUAGCUUUUAUCAGUCGACACUUGAAGGGUAAACAGCUAAACCUAUCUAUCUAUGAGAAAGAACUUUUGGUUGUGGUUUUUGCGGUUCAGAAGCAGCGACACUAUCUACUCCCCAAUCAUUUUAUCAUAAAGACGGAUCAACGAAGCCUCAAAUAUCUCCUGGAGCAACGUUUGAACACACCAAUUCAACAACAGUGGCUCCCAAAGUUACUGGAAUUCGACUAUGAGAUCCAAUAUCGACAAGGUAAAGAUAAUGUGGCAGCUGAUGCUUUGUCCCGAGUUGAAGGAGCAGAGGUUCUUCAUAUGGCCAUGUCGGUGUUAGAGUGUGAUUUGAUGAAAGACAUUCAAGCUCAUUAUGACACAGAUGUGGAGUUGAAACAACUCAUUUCGGAGCUCUCUUCAAAUCCAAACGCUAGGAAGCAUUAUUCGUGGGUACAUUCAGUGUUGAGGAGGAAAAGUAAAAUUGUUGUCCCUAAUGAUCUUCCACUCAGAAACUCUAUUCUCCAAUGGAUGCAUUGUUCAGGUUCUGGCUGACACUUUAGCAGAGACACAACGUAUCAAAAGGUGAAAGGGUUGUUUUACUGGAGAGGAAUGGUUGUGGAUAUCCAAACCUAUAUUCGAAGUUUUGUGGUAUGUCAACUGUGCAAAUACGACACAGCGGCGUACCCUGGCUUGCUCCAACCCCUAGAUAUUCCAGAAGCCAUUUGGAUUGACCUGUCAAUGGACUUCAUAGACGGUCUUCCGGAAUCUGCAGGUAAAACAGUCAUAUUUGUGGUGGUCGACAGAUUGACAAAGGCAGCUCACUUCAUGGCUCUUUCUCAUCCUUACACUGCUAUGUCUGUGGCUCAAGCAUUCCUUGACACUGUGUACAAGCUUCAUGGAUGCCCUCGCUCGAUUGUAAGUGACAGAGAUACUGUAUUCCUCAGUAUGUUUUGGCGGGAGUUGUUUGCAAUGCAGGGAGUCGAUUUGCACUUUUCCAGCGCCUACCAUCCUUAGAGUGAUGGUCAGACAGAAGUGGUAAAUCGUUGUGUGGAAACUUAUCUCUGAUGUAUGUGUAGUGAUCGCCCUCACUUGUGGAGUCAGUGGUUGCCGUUGGCCAAGUUCUAGUAUAAUACCAAUUUUCACACUGCAACACAUUUGAGUCCGUUUGAGGCAGUUUAUGGACAAGCUCAUCCUCUCCACUUACCCUAUCUUCCUGGAGAGUCCAAAGUGGCGACAGUAGCAAGAAGUUUGCAAGAAUGUGAACAAAUGCUCUUGAUACUGAAAUUUCAUCUCUUAAGGGCUCAACACAGAAUGAAACAAAUAGCUGAUGCUCAUCGAUCAGAGAGGGAGUUUGCUGUUGGAGAUCUGGUUUUUGUGAAGUUACAACCAUAUCGUCAAGGCUCAAUGGUGGUUCGUGCUAAUCAGAAGUUAGCCCCCAAGUAUUUUGGUCCAUACAAGAUUGUUGAUCGAUGUGGUAAGGUCGCUUACACACUGCUGCUUCCAGCGGGUUCACUCAUUCAUCCAGUGUUCCACUUUUCUCAACUCAAAGCAGCAAUGGGUAAUGUGCUCACAUCGACUCGGCUACCUUCUGUGGUUGUGGAUGUCCUUCUCAAAGAACCAGUGGCUAUCUUGGAUCGGAAAAUGGUUAAGAGACAGGGUCGGGCAGCAACGAUGGUAUUGGUUCAAUGGACUAACGAAACUGAAGCUGAUGCAACGUGGGAGUAUCUCUAUGACUUGCAGAAGAAGUUUCCUGCUGUUGAACCUUGUGGGCAAGGUUCUUCCAACGGGGAAGCUUUGUUAUAGUAUUUGGGAGUUGGCACCUGGCACGUGUGAAGCAGAGUGUAGCAUAUAAGAAGGGACGAGUCACGUGUGAAGGGUGAGAAGGGUGAGCUGUAUGGAGCUGGAAAUGUCAGUUGCGGUUGAAGGAUGUCAACAUAACGGCAGUUAAAUAAACGUUAACACUGUUAACGGCACUAGUAGUAUAAGAGCAUUGUUUAGCUCAUCUUUAUGCAUAUGAAUAUUUUGGGUUUGUAAAAUACUUUCGAGAACUCUCUUUUCCUCAUCGUUUAGCCGGUUUCUCUCUGUGAGAUUCUUGCUGGUGAGAUUAAGGUCGACGAUUCCGGUCAAAUCAUUGACACUAGAUUCAAGACCUUUGGUUGUGGCUCCGCUAUUGCCUCUUCUUCCGUCGCUUCCGAAUGGAUCAAGGGCAAAACGGUAGAGGAUGUUUUGACUAUCAAGAACGCGCAAAUCGCAAAGCAUCUUCGGUUGCCACCCGUCAAGCUACAUUGCAGUAUGCUUGCAGAAGACGCCAUCAAGUCCGCAGUCAAUAACUACAAGGAGAAGCAAGCAAAGGCUAAUGGUGGUGUCGCAGGAGACACCGUCAAGGCCUGAUUUCACUAUUAUAUUCCGCACUGUGCUGCUUAUGAAACCUACAAGGAGUGGUGUGUUUUAGUUCUUGAAGGUUUUAAUUUCUACUGUUUAAUUAGUAUGUGCUUUGAAUAAAAUUA